ensembl:snRNA
GUAUUGUAUGAACAAGAGAAGGUUAGCACUCCCCUGGACAAAGAAAGAAGAGACCCUUGGACAUGCCAGUGCACAUACAGUUAACGCUUAGUUUCAGGGGUUGGCAUCUAACUGUUGCUUUUC